AGAAACAGCCAUAUAAAUGGUGUAAGGAAAUUGAAGGAAGACGUUGAAACUUCCCCUCUGCAAAUUAAUUUUAUUCGACAGCAAAGGGAGCUAUUUCUUUUGGAGAGAAGUAUGAUUGGUGCGUUCAAAAAUGGCAAUAUAAUACCUACUUGAUAAAGUAGUUAAAGGAAUGUAUUUGCUACGUGCUUACAGUGUACGACCACUCUGAAAUUGACUUCAGGUAACGGAAAAUGAAGAUAUGAAGAGUUUGACUUCACUUCACGAAUACUGCUUUGAAUCUUUAACAGUUCGCAGUGAAAAGAUGUCGUGGUGUAAGGCAGAAAAACAAUAAAC